rnacentral:lncRNA from 1 species
AUUUAAUUUAGAAAAUAUCGCUUUAAAGCUUCAGAUUCAUUUAACUUCAAGUAAAGAGCAAACUCGAACAAGAAAAUAAGUAGACAAACGCUACAAGAUUAUGACACAACUUCUAUAUAUAAAAAUAAUUACACCAGAUCUUGGGAAGGGAAAGUACCUAGAUGGCAAAAAUUUGAGCUAAAGCAGUCACGUAAAGGCGAAGGAAAGCUGGGGCUCAGCGAUGAAGCAGACAACGACAACAACAAAUCUGCCCGGAAAACUCAGAGUACAACCUUCGAUGAACUCGGAACUCGCCGGAAAAUUCCAAUUAGACCAAAAAAAAACUCGUCAGAACUUGGACCUCUCGUUUUUCAUUUCAUCUUAUUUUUUUGCCUUUAUGCUAUGUAUUCUGUUUCUAUUUUUAUUUUUAUUUUUUGUUUUCUGAUCUUAUAAGUAAAGAAAAAGAAACUGAAGAAACUUGCUUAAUUGAGGAAGUGGCCGAUUUUUUUUGUCCCCCUCGAUUACUGUUUGUGUCUUUGUUAUAUAGUAAAGGUGUAUAUGAUAUAUAUUAAAAAUAGAACCUAUAAUGGAGGAAGGCUCAUUACUGUAUCAGAUUUUCAUGCUUUCAAUAACUUUCAAAAUAAAGUAAUUGGUUGCACUUGUCGUAUAUGGUAACUUCUAUAGCUCAAGUAUUUUGAUUCCUCACUUCUCUUGUGUGUAAGUUGCGGCUAGGUUGGGGGGUGUGAGGGAUCUGCCAUUCUUGGGUUGGAGGAGGCAGCAGGUUUUGGUGAAUGUCUGUAUCAGUGAAGACAAAUCGAGAAGAAGAAGGUAUCCCGCAGGAGCAGAAGUCGCAAAAAAGCGUCGUUUGCUCUCUAGGGGAAGGGUCUAUGAUCUGAUUUUUUUGGUUUCUAAAAUGUCUUUUUAUAUGUAAGGGUAGGGUAAAGGGUAAUGGGUAUUUGGGUAGGGAGAUUGGGCUUGGGUUGGACAAAUUUUGGUGCCAUUUAUUUGGGCUGGUUUUGGCUUUCAAAUGGCCCAAGCUCCGAAUUUAAACCCAAUUAAAUAAACUCCUUAUUUCCUUUUCUUUUUUAUUUUUUUUAAUUAAAAAUCCUAGAAAUUAAAAUCCUGGAUUAUCAAAAAGUGCGAAAUUAAACUAAUUAACUAAUUAUAAAAAUUAUAAAAUCUACUUAAUCCUAAAUUAAAAGAGAAAAAAUUAAUAAAAGGAAAAAGUGUAAAAAUGAAGCAAUUUUUGUGAUUUUCAAUUUUUAUAAAACAAGUAACUACCGAUUAAUCCUAAUAAUAUAAAAAUAAAGCUUAAAUUUCAUGCGUGAUAUUUUUGAUAUUUUUCAUGAUUUAAAUAAAACUUAAAAAUGCAAAGAUUUAAUAAAAAUCUACGAAUUUGCAAAUAAUGGGAAAAAUUUAUUUUCUUGAAUUUAUGGGAGUAAUUCACAUAGAGCAAAAAUCACGUGCUCACAGUAGGCUCGCUCAUAGGUGCUCGGCCAUACUAGGAUCUGUACCUCGACCAAUUGGGCUCGCUCAUAAGCGCUCGGCCACAGUAGGCUCGGUAUAUAACUUACCAUCUGAUCAGAGGUUGCCCUAUAGGGGCCUGCCAAUCGAUUAUAGCUCGAUGGUUAUGAAAAUAUUGUAAUACUGUAUACAUAUAAAUUCUCUGCUCUCUUGACUGGAAAAAGAAAUACUCAAAUGAAUAUGAAGUCCCGAUAAAGAGAAUAUUAUAACUUACAAAACUAGAAAAAUUUACGUAACUUGCGAGACUAGCAAAAUAUACGUAAAUUCUCGGAUAUGGAUUUUUCUUUAUGCCUCGUUAUCAAACUCGUGUAAUUAUAAAAUUAUGUCAAAAUAAAAGAAGGGCUUAACCUUAGCAUACAUGUUCCAGGAAUAUUCAAACGGAUCUGCUUCUGCAAAAUGUGGACGAAAUUCACACUUGGACGAACUUGUUC